AUGCACGCUGGCGGCGUGCCUAAUACAUGCAAGUCGAGCGAACAGACGAGGAGCUUGCUCCUCUGACGUUAGCGGCAGACGGGUGAGUAACACGUGGAUAACCUACCUAUAAGACUGGGAUAACUUCGGGAAACCGGAGCUAAUACCGGAUAAUAUAUUGAACCGCAUGGUUCAAUAGUGAAAGACGGUUUUGCUGUCACUUAUAGAUGGAUCCGCGCCGCAUUAGCUAGUUGGUAAGGUAACGGCUUACCAAGGCAACGAUGCGUAGCCGACCUGAGAGGGUGAUCGGCCACACUGGAACUGAGACACGGUCCAGACUCCUACGGGAGGCAGCAGUAGGGAAUCUUCCGCAAUGGGCGAAAGCCUGACGGAGCAACGCCGCGUGAGUGAUGAAGGUCUUCGGAUCGUAAAACUCUGUUAUUAGGGAAGAACAAAUGUGUAAGUAACUAUGCACGUCUUGACGGUACCUAAUCAGAAAGCCACGGCUAACUACGUG
rnacentral:rRNA from 1 species